CGGGACGGGUGAGUAACACGUGGAUAACCUACCUAUAAGACUGGGAUAACUUCGGGAAACCGGAGCUAAUACCGGAUAAUAUAUUGAACCGCAUGGUUCAAUAGUGAAAGACGGUUUUGCUGUCACUUAUAGAUGGAUCCGCGCUGCAUUAGCUAGUUGGUAAGGUAACGGCUUACCAAGGCAACGAUGCGUAGCCGACCUGAGAGGGUGAUCGGCCACACUGGAACUGAGACACGGUCCAGACUCCUACGGGAGGCAGCAGA
rnacentral:rRNA from 1 species